UACGUAGGGGGCGAGCGUUGUCCGGAGUUACUGGGCGUAAAGCGCACGCAGGCGGUCUGCUAAGUUUGGAGUGACAGUUGGUGGCUUAACUGCCAAAGUGCUUCGAAAACUGACAGACUUGAGGGCUUCAGAGGGACACGGAAUUCCGGGUGGAGUGGUGAAAUGCGUAGAGAUCCGGAGGAACACCAAAGACGAAGGCAGUGUCCUGGGGAGUACCUGACGCUCAGGUGCGAAAGCCAGGGGAGCGAACGGG
rnacentral:rRNA from 1 species